rnacentral:sRNA from 1 species
GCUAGGCACAGUGGUGCAUGCCUGUAAUCCCAGCAGCUCAGGAGGCUGAGGCAGGAGGAUUACAAGUUCAAAGCCAUCCUUAGUGAGAUCCUGUCUCUA